UGAUGAUGUUUGCUUGUGUGCAAGCACCUAUGAACUGGGACUAUUUUGUUUCUACUUGUAAUUUGAUGUAUUCUUUUGCAGGGAAUAACGCGGAAUUGCCAUCCCUGCCCUUUCAUGUUGUAACUAAACCUAGUCAACUCCCAGUUGAGUUUCUUGAGCCCUCUGCUACCAUGAAAUUGGUGAUUGGAUUUGACUGUGAAGGUGUCGACCUUUGCCGCCAUGGUGCUCUUUGUAUCAUGCAGAUUGCAUUUCCUGAUGUUGUUUACUUGGUCGAUGCUAUUGAGGGUGGGAAAGAACUAGUUGAAGCUCGCAAACCAGCACUUGAGUCAGAUCAUGUCACCAAAGUUAUUCAUGACUGUAAAAGGGACAGCGAGGUGCCUAACUGUGAGAUGUGAUAUUCUUUUGGUGUAUUAAAUAAGUUUGCAAAAAUUGUGUAUCUGACUAGUGGUAAACUUACAAUUUAUUCUGCUGCUGGCAUUGUAUUUCCAGUUUGGCAUUAAAUUACAUAAUGUGAUGGAUACACAGGUAAUCACCAUACAUAUGUACUAUUUCCUUUUAAUAUAUGAAUGAAUCCGUGUCUGCUGCUUUCUCGGUUAAUUUCUUUCAAAUUUAACCAUUAUCAUGAGCUUUGGACCAGUAACCCUGUACAGGGUUGAAAGCAUUACAUGAUCCUCUACCUUCCAAGAGAUAUACUAUAUGUUAAUUGUUAUAGCAGCUAUAUGUAAGAUGAUUUUAUUUGUAAAGGGAGCUUCCGAUCAUCACUUUCAUUUGCAGAUAGCCUAUUCCCUGAUUGAAGAGCAGGAAGGUAAAAAGAGAGCACAUGAUGUUUACAUAUCCUUCGUCAGCCUUCUUGGAGAAACUGCUGCUGUAGGACGUCCUCCUCCCCUCCUCCUAGCCCCACUCGUGGUGAGCUCCAAUGCAUCUGUGGACAAUUAGGAACUGGUGGUACAACUAAUGUUUAAUUGGUUACUUCAUAAUCUGUUCCACCGUGUGCAUGAACGCUCACAUACUUUCUCUUGCUAUUUAUAUACAUAACUAUUGGACAGCGAGAAAAUUUCCAUUGCGUGCAUGGGUGUACUUUUUUCCGUCAAUCCAUCUCUUAUCAUGCAUACAUCCUAUCAUAUAUUAUAUGAUAAAUCUUUUAGUUGCUCACUGUAUAUAUAGGUGCUCAAAUUUCUAGAUUCCAUAGAACAUCUGUUUGUAGUGAAAAAAGGGUAUCUGCAGCUUUUAAUCAAUGUCUAUUUAGAUCAAUAGGAUACCUAAUGAAAAAAGGGUAUCUGCAGCUUUUAGUAAAUAACCUGUCAUGUCAUUCUUCAAGUCUGCACAUAGCACUGUUAUUUUAGGAGCAGAUUUCUCAUCCUUAAGAAACCUGAACUUGCUUAAUAGCCAAUUUAGCGGUGUAUUACCAGUUCCUUGAUGUCAACUCUGAUGCCUCUAUUUACAUUUCUUGAUAUCAUUUCUGGUAUGCAAUCAUAUGACAUAUCUCAUGUAAAUGAAUAUGGGCUGCUGUCAAUAUUUUAAUCUACAAUUGAUCUAGUGUUUUUUUACAUGGUAGCUUAAUAUCCUCCUUCCUUUUCUAAUAUGCAAACUUCUAAUAUGUGAGGUGCAUAAGUGCAUGAGGUGUGGUUUGCCUUAGGCUGCUCCCGCUCGCCGGCGGUCUGGUCUAGUGUCACUUAACCGUUGUAACCUGGCUGGUUUGGUUCAGCUUCGAGCUGCCCACCGCGGAGUGGGAGACCGACAUGCUCAUGAGCAUCGAGGCCGGAUCAAGUAUGAUGGUGCACCGCGGCGUGCGGCGGCCUAUUUUUUUGUAGUGGUACUGUAUAUGGUCUCAUCUAGCACUGAGUAUUCAUAUGUUGUUUAUCCUGAUGAUGAUGUUGUAGCAUAAAGUGGACACCAUAUUCGGUUUGUCUUGAUGCUUUACCUUUUGUGGUUCUUGUCUGAUGCACACUGUUCUUUGCAGGGUUAUGAUGAUAUUUCCAUGGAAAUAUACUGACCUUGAUGUGACAAAGGUGCCCAUUUUCCCUUUCUUAAAUAUUUUUACUCUGUUUUUUGUUCUUCCUGUAGUUCCAGUUUCACAUGUUUCAUGGCAUAUUCAUCAGAUCUGCUCACAUACCUUAUGAUUGAGUAACUUGAUUAGUAUUUCUAUCACUGUCCUAGCUCAGUAAACUGUUUGUUUUCUCAGUAGCUAAAAAAGAAAGUAAAUCUACUAUAUCCUGGUAUUCUAGAAUUUCAGUGUCUCACAGAAGUUACUCUGUGUCCUGCUUUACCUUGCAAACCUGAUGCUCUGUUGUCUGUUCUCAUUUCUUAAGUUUGAAAUGUUUCAAGCUUAAGAGUGCCCCAAUCUUCGACUACAUCUGUAUGCACCUUAGUAAGAAAUACAUUGGUCUUGUAAAUAUCAUUGCAAAGUAUAUCUGCCUCCAUAUGUUCUUGCCAGCAUUAAAUGUUGUUGCUGACAUUUCUCACUAAAGAAUGUCCCUCUAGCACAGCACAUUCCUUUGGAAUGUUGGCCUUGAGUCAAGCUCCAAGAAGAAAUUCAACAAAUCUGCAUCUGCUUUGGAUGCUCAUGUACAAGAUACUAAGUUAUUGGUUGGUACUAUCUUAUAAACAUGUGGUGUAAUGAUACUGCUGCGACAAACUUGAUGAGAUGUUCUACUGUUAGUUCA